AUUCCUUCCAAUCUUACAUAUUUCUUCAGUCUCCCCCAUUCACCUAUAAAUUAUCUUCAUGCAUCCUACUCUCCAAGCAUCAGAUUUCAGGUUGUGAAAAUUUUUUAGUAGAAAGAUUAUGGAGGCCGCAAAGAAAAUGAAGGCAACAUUAAUCGUCACAAUCGUCAUCUUCUCGCUAUUUGCACCGAGCUCUGCUAGCUUUGGUUCUUGCUAUAAAGAAUGUUAUCUAGAUUGCAUACAUAAUAAAUCUCCCAUACUUGAUUGCGCGGCAAUUUGUUUGGGGAAGUGUUUCACUCACAAAGAAUUCACUGGAAAGACCGCGGAGGGAGAAGAUAUUCCAAGGGCCACUCAAAGAGUUGUACCUAAAAAUUGAAUGAGUUUCAAACUUUAAUUUGUUGCCAGAGAGCUGAGGAAGGAUAAGUUUACGUACAAGCAUAAUAAAAUGUUCCAAUUAAUGUCA